GAAACCAUUCACAAUCCCUUUGUUGAAAGAGUGCACACUGAAAACUAUUUCACGUUUUACCAUUUCAACACUCCAAGCCGUGCUUUUACCACUCGAACCAAAGCCAUCGUAACAGAAAUACUUCGCCUGGAUAAAAGCAAGCAGUACCGGUAAAGCUCCGAUCCAUCUCGGAUGCUACCUGAUAACAUCCCAAAUCAAACACCAUUCGGAUCAGCAAAAAGAAACACUAAGCUCUCCAUUUCCGUUCGUGUUCGAUGGCCACGCAAACCCACAUUCCCAACCUGCCGGCUUUCCUCGCAAUGUUCCCAGCGGUUCGAGCUGAGAAAAACCUUUAUUCCAUCAAUCAGUUCUCGAACACUCCAAAUCAAAUCCUGCCCAGGACACCCAACGCCUUCGCCCCUCAACGAACGUUCGAUUGAAACGCGUUCGCUCGAUCAUACGCCUCAUCGACAGGGUGCAAUCUUCACUUCAUCGACUAAGCCAGCUGGCUUAAGAGCCUCUCGUGAUCAACAUCAGUUUCGCCAAGUUAAACAAUCGUAUCGAAGCCUCGUCGCCCACCUCUACACCCGCAGCAAUGUGUGUUGUCACCGGGGAUAGUAGAGGCAACUGCCCGGUCCGGUAUGACAACGAGGCUUUUCCUGGGGACACUAUAAUCCCACAUCGAACUUGCUGAUAAGUGUGCUAUCUCAGUCAGCCGCUUCCGAUCCGUGUCUUCGGGCCAGAGGAACACAAACAUUAAUUCCGAUGAUGUGCCGCAGCAGCAGCCGACACCGCCAAACAUUAUCCUCCGGAUGCUCAGGAGAUACAACUCAGCUAAUCCUACCUUCGUUUCCGGUAGUUUCUAGUGAGCGGGCUAUCGUUGGCAAUCAAAUCAUUCUCCGCCAACUCUCGGUAUUGAACCGUGUGACCGAUUGAACAAGAUCGGAACCACCCGAGCAUUAGUCUAUUCCUGGAACAUUAUCCCAAGCAAUAAAACAUGACAGGCGCUGGGAAGCAGCUUAUCUUCAAACUCUAACUACAAUGGCGAAUGUGGUCGAUGGCUAGUUUUGGACGGGAGAAUACCCACAAAACACCCAGACAUACUCGAAUGCACCUCGACAACACCAUUGGCUUCGGAAGUUUUCCCCCCCUGAACGAAGAAAGAUGAUGUCAACGCUCUGUACAGUUUCCUACGGUGUUGAUUCCCGAUUGCUGUAGAAGCCACACGCUUGCCAAUGGAGUGCUCGGGUGUGUCAAAACUCGUUCGGAUCAGCACGACCCAACGCCGUUUGGACGAGUGGCUUCUGCCAAUCGAACUACACCCGUUUUAUUGCUACGGACGAGCGCCUGUUUGCUCUAAAUGCUGCUCAUUUCUCUUCUCACACAUCGUUCCCUACUGGUUCACGCACGCAGCACAGGGAGUUGGAAAACUGUUCGAGAAGCACCAUGGAUCAAUGGUCCGUUGUUGUGAUACCGCAUCGUGUAAUAACCUACCACGAACGGGGGAACGCUUCGAUACGGAUCCAGUGCUGUACUGCACCGACACUCUCACACGUUGACCACGAACG